rnacentral:rRNA from 1 species
UGCAGAAUCCCGUGAACCAUCGAGUCUUUGAACGCAAGUUGCGCCCGAUGCCAAUAGGUUGAGGGCACGUCUGCCUGGGUGUCACAUAUCGAAUCCCCUUGCCAAUUUCCUAUUGAAUAGGUAUUGUGUGCAGGGUGAAUAUGUUGGCCUCCCGUGAGCUUUGUCUCGUGGUUGGUUGAAAAUUGAGACCUUGGUAGGGUGUGCCAUGAUAGAUGGUGGAUGUGUGACCCACGAGACCAAAUCAUGUGCAGCUCUAUUGAAUGUGGACUCUUUUACCCACAUGUGUUUUAUAACGCUCGUGAUGAGACCUCAGGUCAGGCGGGGCUACCCGCUGAAUUUAAGCAUAUCAAUAAGCGGAGGAAAAGAAACUAACAAGGAUUCCCUUAGUAACGGCGAGCGAACCGGGAUAAGCCCACCAUGAGAAUCGGUCGCCCUCGGCGUUCGA